CAUGUAGGCGGAUUAAUAAGUUUGAAGUGAAAUCCUAUAGCUUAACUAUAGAACUGCUUUGAAAACUGUUAAUCUAGAAUGUGGGAGAGGUAGAUGGAAUUUCUGGUGUAGGGUAAAAUCCGUAGAGAUCAGAAGGAAUACCGAUUGCGAAGGCGAUCUACUGGAACAUUAUUGACGCUGAGAUGCGAAGCGUGGGGAGCAAACA
rnacentral:rRNA from 1 species